GCCCGGCUAGCUCAGUUGGUAGAGCAUUCGACUCUUAGUCAAGCGUUAACAGAAAUCCAUCUGUAAUCGAAUUGUCGUGGGUUCGAGCCCCACGUUGGGCG
rnacentral:tRNA from 1 species